rnacentral:tRNA from 1 species
GCCGGCGUAGCUCAGUUGGUAGAGCAUCUGAUUUGUAAUCAGAGGGUCGGGGGUUCAAAUCCCUCCGCCGGCU